UACGAGGGGGGCAAGCGUUGUUCGGAAUUAUUGGGCGUAAAGGGUGCGUAGGCGGUCUGACAAGUCUGAUGUGAAAAUCUAUGGGCUCAACCCAUAGUCUGCAUCGGAAACUGUCGGGCUUGAGUAUGGGAGAGGUGAGUGGAAUUUCCGGUGUAGCGGUGAAAAUGCGUAGAUAUCGGAAGGAACACCUGUGCGAAAGCGGACUCACUGGACCAUUACGUGACGCU
rnacentral:rRNA from 1 species